GAUGAACGCUGGCGGCGUGCUUAACACAUGCAAGUCGAGCGAAGCACUUUUGCGGAUUUCUUCGGAUUGAAGCAAUUGUGACUGAGCGGCGGACGGGUGAGUAACGCGUGGGUAACCUGCCUCAUACAGGGGGAUAACAGUUGGAAACGGCUGCUAAUACCGCAUAAGCGCACAGUACCGCAUGGUACCGUGUGAAAAACUCCGGUGGUAUGAGAUGGACCCGCGUCUGAUUAGCUAGUUGGUGGGGUAACGGCCUACCAAGGCGACGAUCAGUAGCCGACCUGAGAGGGUGACCGGCCACAUUGGGACUGAGACACGGCCCAAACUCCUACGGGAGGCAGCAGUGGGGAAUAUUGCACAAUGGGGGAAACCCUGAUGCAGCGACGCCGCGUGAGCGAUGAAGUAUUUCGGUAUGUAAAGCUCUAUCAGCAGGGAAGAUAAUGAC
rnacentral:rRNA from 1 species